GGGUGGGUCGGCUCAGUAGUUAGAGCGUAGGUCUCGUAACCGAAAGGUUGCGGGAUCGAUUCCCGCUCUCUAGCUG
rnacentral:tRNA from 1 species